ACAUAUAGGUUUGAUUGUUAGUACUAGUAAAAAGGCAAGUGAUCAUGGGGCCAAGAGGACCUAGACCAGGAGGGCCACCUGGGUGGGGCCCUCCUCUAGGUCCGGGAGGACCACCGAUGCCUGGACCAGGAGGACCACCUAGAUUGGGUCCUCCUCAAAGUCCGGGAGGACCACCGAUGGCAGGACCAUGUGGCUUCUUUAGUAGUUUUUGCAACCCUAUAGGCUCCUGCCUAAGCUUUUUUUUGCUGCUGCUGGUUGUUACAAGACUGUUUUGGUCACCCAAUGGGUUCACCUGGCCCUCCAAGACCUUAUGGACCUCCUCCACUAUGAUCCUAAGGGAAGUACUGAAAGACUAUAAAAGAAGAAAAGAAAGCAAAAAAAGAAGAAGCAAAUGAUGUGAUCUCAGUUCAGAAUUGUGAUCUAGUUGUUCCCUUUUUUUGCAUAACCACCCUAUAUUUUUCCUUUUUUGGUGGCUUUCAAUGUCAAUUUCUCUGAAAAUUUUAGGUCAUUUUGACUUGUAAUGUCAAAGACUCGAAGGGUUCUAUCUUACUUGAUAGAGAAAGAUCCAUUUAUGUGAAAUUCUUCCAUAAC